GAUGAACGUUGGCGGCGUGCCUAAUACAUGCAAGUCGAACGAAGACUGUAGUAAUACUGUCUUAGUGGCGAACGGGUGAGUAACGCGUGGGUGACCUGCCCCGAAGUGUGGGAUAACAGUUCGAAAGGAUUGCUAAUACUGCAUAAUAUCCAAGAGAUUAGACGCUUUUGGAUUAAAGGAGUAAUUCGCUUCGGGAGGGGCCCGCGUCCCAUCAGCUAGUUGGUAAGGUAAUGGCUUACCAAGGCGAUGACGGGUAGGGGACCUGAGAGGGUGGCCCCCACAAUGGAACUGAAACACGGUCCAUACACCUACGGGUGGCAGCAGUAGGGAAUAUUAGUAAUGGGCGAAAGCCUGAACUAGCAACGCCGCGUGUGCGAAGAAGGCCUUCGGGUUGUAAGCACUUUUGUAGAGGAUGAGGAAGGAACGGUACGUCUCAGAAUAAGUACUCGGCUAACUACGUGCCAGCAGCCGCGGUAAACAUGAGAGUA
rnacentral:rRNA from 1 species